AGCAGCCGCGGCAAUUCCAGCUCCAAUAGCGUAUAUUAAAGUUGUUGCAGUUAAAAAGCUCGUAGUUGAAUUUCGGGACCAAUUUGUUGGUCGUGCCUCGGUACGUACUGGUAUUAUUGGUUUCUCCCUUCUGAAGAACCUCGAUGCCAUUAAUUUGGUGUCGUGGGGAAUCAGGACUGUUACUUUGAAAAAUUAGAGCGUUUAAAGCAAGCAUACGCUUGAAUACAUUAGCAUGGAAUAAUGAAAUAGGACGUUUUGAUUCUAUUUUGUUGGUUUCUAGGAUCGACGUAAUGAUUAAUAGGGAUAGUUGGGGGCAUUAGUAUUCAAUUGUCAGAGGUGAAAUUCUUGGAUUUAUUGAAGACUAACUACUGCGAAAGCAUUUGCCAAGGAUGUUUUCAUUAAUCAAGAACGAAAGUUAGGGGAUCGAAGACGAUCAGAUACCGUCGUAGUCUUAACCAUAAACUAUGCCGACUAGGGAUCGGAUGAUGUUAAUUUUAUAAUGACUCAUUCGGCACCUUAC
rnacentral:rRNA from 1 species